GUUGCCUCAGAAUAACUAGACGGUGAUUAAAAAUACGAUGCCGUUUGGUUCAGACAGGGGCACACAGUAAGUAAUUCGAAUCUGUGUUUGUGUUUGAGGGAAAGGAACGCUUUUCUCAAGCUCUUCCUGUUCCUUUCCUACACAGCUUCGAAUAUUC